rnacentral:rRNA from 1 species
GGAGUGGCAGACGGGUGAGUAACGCGUGGGAACAUACCCUUUCCUGCGGAAUAGCUCCGGGAAACUGGAAUUAAUACCGCAUACGCCCUACGGGGGAAAGAUUUAUCGGGGAAGGAUUGGCCCGCGUUGGAUUAGCUAGUUGGUGGGGUAAAGGCCUACCAAGGCGACGAUCCAUAGCUGGUCUGAGAGGAUGAUCAGCCACAUUGGGACUGAGACACGGCCCAAACUCCUACGGGAGGCAGCAGUGGGGAAUAUUGGACAAUGGGCGCAAGCCUGAUCCAGCCAUGCCGCGUGAGUGAUGAAGGCCUUAGGGUUGUAAAGCUCUUUCACCGAUGAAGAUAAUGACGGUAGUCGGAGAAGAAGCCCCGGCUAACUUCGUGCCAGCAGCCGCGGUAAUACGAAGGGGGCUAGCGUUGUUCGGAAUUACUGGGCGUAAAGCGCACGUAGGCGGAUAUUUAAGUCAGGGGUGAAAUCCCGCAGCUCAACUGCGGAACUGCCUUUGAUACUGGGUAUCUUGAGUAUGGAAGAGGUAAGUGGAAU